rnacentral:rRNA from 1 species
GUCCACGCCCUAAACGAUGGAUACUCGACAUCAGCGAUACACUGUUGGUGUCUGAGCGAAAGCAUUAAGUAUCCCACCUGGGAAGUACGACCGCAAGGUUGAAACUCAAAUGAAUUGACGGGGUCGCACAAGCGGUGGAGCAUGUGGUUUAAUUCGAUGAUACGCGAGGAACCUUACCUGGGCUAGAAUGCGGUUUGACCGCUGGUGAAAGCUAGUUUUAUAGCAAUAUACAGAUCGUAAGGUGCUGCAUGGCUGUCGU